GCUGGCGGCUGCUUAACACAUGCAAGUCAACGGAGCACCCUUUGACUUGAGUUUUGGCCAAAUGAUAGGAAUGCUUAGUGGCGGACUGGUGAGUAACGCGUGAGGAACCUGCCUUCCAGAGGGGGACAACAGUUGGAAACGACUGCUAAUACCGCAUGGAUAAUUUGAGGGGCAUCCCUUGGAUAUCAAAGAUUUAUCGCUGGAAGAUGGCCUCGCGUCUGAUUAGCUAGUAGGCGGGGUAAGGCCCACCUAGGCGACGAUCAGUAGCCGGACUGAGAGGUUGACCGGCCACAUUGGGACUGAGAUACGGCCCCAGACUCCUACGGGAGGCAGCAGUGGGGAAUAUUGGGCAAUGGGCGCAAGCCUGACCCAGCAACGCCGCGUGAAGGAAGAAGGCUUUCGGGUUGUAAACUUCUUUUGUCAGGGAACAGUAGAAGAGGGUACCUGACGAAUAAGCCACGGCUAACUACGUGCCAGCAGCCGCGGUAA
rnacentral:rRNA from 1 species